GUGGUUAUGGCGGCAGGGUUCCACCUCUUCCCAUUCCGAACAGAGAAGUUAAGCCUGCGUGCGCCGAUGGUACUGCAAUGCAAUGCGGGAGAGUAGGUAGCCGCCUUUU
rnacentral:rRNA from 1 species